rnacentral:rRNA from 1 species
CCUACGGGAGGCAGCAGUGGGGAAUAUUGCACAAUGGGCGCAAGCCUGAUGCAGCAACGCCGCGUGAGGGACGACGGCCUUCGGGUUGUAAACCUCUUUUAGUAGGGAAGAAGCGAAAGUGACGGUACCUGCAGAAAAAGCACCGGCUAACUACGUGCCAGCAGCCGCGGUAAUACGUAGGGUGCAAGCGUUAUCCGGAAUUAUUGGGCGUAAAGAGCUCGUAGGCGGUUUGUCGCGUCUGCUGUGAAAACUGGAGGCUCAACCUCCAGCCUGCAGUGGGUACGGGCAAACUAGAGUGCGGUAGGGGAGAUUGGAAUUCCUGGUGUAGCGGUGGAAUGCGCAGAUAUCAGGAGGAACACCGAUGGCGAAGGCAGAUCUCUGGGCCGUAACUGACGCUGAGGAGCGAAAGCAUGGGGAGCGAACAGGAUUAGAUACCCUGGUAGUCCAUGCCGUAAACGUUGGGCGCUAGAUGUGGGGACCCAUUCCACGGUUUCCGUGUCGCAGCUAACGCAUUAAGCGCCCCGCCUGGGGAGUACGGCCGCAAGGCUAAAACUCAAAAGGAAUUGACGGCNGAGACGUGCCGAACGACGACGACGAGGGAGGAGG